UAAUACGGGGGGAGCAAGCGUUGUUCGGAUUUACUGGGCGUAAAGGGCGCGUAGGCGGCCAGCACAAGUCAGUUGUGAAAUCUCCGGGCUUAACUCGGAAAGGUCAACUGAUACUGUGCGGCUAGAGUGCGGAAAGGGCAACUGGAAUUCUCGGUGUAGCGGUGAAAUGCGUAGAUAUCGAGAGGAACACCUGCGGCGAAGGCGGGUUGCUGGGCCGACACUGACGCUGAUGCGCGAAAGCCAGGGGAGCGAACGGGAUUAGAUACCCCGGUAGUCCUGGCCUUAAACGAUGGAUGCUUGGUGUCUGGAGUUUUAUAGUCUCCGGGUGCCGUAGCUAACGCGUUAAGCAUCCCGCCUGGGGAGUACGGUCGCAAGACU
rnacentral:rRNA from 1 species